UUUNUUUUUUUUUUUUUUUUUUUUUUGCUUUUUAGGGCCACACUCGCGGCAUGUGGAGAUUCCCAGGCUAGGGGUCUAAUCGGAGCUGUUGUUGCCGGCCUACGCCAGAGCCACACCAGAUAUGAGCUGCUUCUGCAACCUACACCAAAGCUCACAGCAACGUUGGAUCCUUAACCCAGUGACCAAGGCCAGGAAUUGAACCUGCCACCUCAUGGUUCCUAGUCGGAUUUGUUCGCACUGUGCCACGAUGGGAACUCCUUGAGACUGUAUUUCCAUUUUAAAAUUUUAUCGUCCUCAUUCUUGUUGGAAGCUACCUCACAGGCACUGGGAAUGAGGCAGAUAUGCAAAUUAAAUCUGUCAUUCAGCAAGUAUACAGAGACGGCCUGUACUAGUUAGGGCCCUUUGGUUUGCAAUUGACAGAACUAAAUUAAGCCAAAAAGGAUAAAAUAAGUAAUGGGCUUAUUUUACUAACUCAUAAAAGAAACUGACCUGGAUUGAGGGACUUGAGUCCCUGUGUGUGUGUGUGUGUGUGUGUGAGACUUUUCUCCCGAUUUCAUCUUCACUCCCUCUCUGCUGGCAUCAUUCUCUCCAGUGGGAACGUUGACUGCAGGCAGCACCAGGUCACUGUCCUUGUGUCCCUGUCACCAGAGUACAGAGAGGACCCUUCCCAUGUAUCCAGGGAGCAAAAGCUGAGGGCGGGAGUCUGACAUGUCCUGCCUUGAGUCAUAUGGCCACCCCCAGACCAAUCACAGGUCCCAGCGGGGAGGGGACCUUGACCAGCGGUCCUGGCGGUACCUCCUGGGUGGAGUGGGAGGAACAGUUCUCUAGGGAUAAAAACAGUAUGAAGCUUCCUCAAAAAAAUUAAAAAUAGAACUACCAUACAAUACAGCAAUUCCACUCCUGGGUACGUAUCCAAAGAAAAUGAAAACACUAAUUACAAAAGAUAUAUGUACCCCAAAGCUCAUCACAUAUUACUUAUAAUUGCCAAGAUAUGGAAGCCGUCUAAGUCCCCACCGGCAGACGAAUGGAUAAAGAUGUGAGAGGUGUGUGUGUGUGUGUGUAUACACACAUAUGUGUGUAUAUGUAUAUGAACAUUGGCCAUAGAGAUGAAUGAAAUCUUGCCAUUUGUGAUAAGUGGAGGCAUCCGGAGGAUAUUUUGCUCAGUGAAAUAAGCCAAACAAAGAAACACGAAUACUGGCGUUCUCUUGUAGCACAGCAGGUUAAGGCUCUGGCAUUGAGUUACUGCUGUGACACGGAUUCACUCCCUGGCCCAGGACCUACUGCAUGCCACAGGCACGGCCGAAAGAAAGGAAGGAAGACAAAUACUGUAUGUUUUCGUUUACAUAUGCAAUCUAUAAAACAAAACAAAUACAGCAAAACAGAAACAGACUCACAGAUACACAGAAUAAACUAGUGGCUGCGAGAGGGAGCAGGGUGAGGGGAUGGGCAAAAUAGGUGAAGGGUAUUACGAGAUAUAAAUGACCAGUUAUGAGUCAUGGGGAUGCAAUGUACCACACAGAGAAUACAGUCAAUAAUAUUAUAAUCACUUUGUAUAGUAUAUAAAAAUUUUGAAUCAUUAGGCUGUACACCUAAUCUAAUAUAAUAUUCUAGGCCAACUAUAUUUCAAAUUUAUUUUUUUAUUUUUAUUUUAACCACUCCCAUGGCAUGCGGACGUUCCCAGGCCAGGGACUGAACCGAAGCCACAGCAGUGACAACCCCAAAUCCUUAACCACUGGGGCCACCUGGGAACUACAAUACUUCAAUUUUAAAAAAAGAAAAAUUCUAACACUGUAAACCAGCUAUAAUGGGGGAAAAAAAACCUAAGAAAAAAACAACUUUGGACAGAGGUUAAAAAAGAAAGAUUUUUUUUUUCCCCACCUUGGGGCAUGUGGACAUUCCAGGGACAGGGAUCAAACCUGCACCACAGCAGUGACAACUGCUGGAUCCUUAACCCUCUGAGCCAAAAAAAAAAAAUUUAGAAAUUUUUAAUUAAUAAAUUAAUUUUCAAAAGGAUGGGGACAUGAUUUGAAGAUUCCCUUUCCUAUUUUCUCCCUGUCUGUCUUCCUUUCUUUCCUCCUUUCUUCCUUCCCUCCUUCCUUUCUUCCUCCUUCCCUCCUUCCUUCCUUCCUUUCUUUUCCUUUUUAGGACUGCACCUGCAGCAUAUGGAAGUUCCCAGGUUAGGGGCCAAAUCGGAGCCACAGCUGCCAGCCUACACCACAGCCACAGCCACAGCAACAUAGGAUCCAAGCCCCAUCUUUGACCUACACACAGCUUAUGGCAAUGCUGGAUCUUUCACCCACUGUGAGAGGCCAGGGCUCACACCAAAUCCUCGUGAAUCCUAGUCGGGUUCUGAAUCACUGAGCCACAACAGGAACUCCAUGAUUUGAGGAUUCUUAAAGGAAGAGAGCAGGGAAGACCAAAGCACAAAAACGCACCUGCCCCAUGGCUAUUCGGUGCCAGGCCCCGUGGGACGCCCUGUAGAUGCAGAUUUGAAUAAGACAAGGCCCUUGCCUUGUCACAUGGUCAUAGUCCAAUGCAGAGGAUCAGAAUCCAAAUCAGAGCAGGAGCAGAACCUGGGAAGACGGACAGGCAAGGGAUGUGGGGAGUUGGAAGGAGAGAGAAGGACUUCUGACUCUGGCCAGGAGCAAGAAAGGUGGACUGAAACGACCCUUUUGCCACACACAAUGAAGAAACGGGAAGAGUCUAAGAAAAAACUACUUCCAGAGGUUAGAAAACCGGUAGCACAGGACCGCAAUCUCUGAGAAAAGGGAAGCAAGUGCUGUGAGCCCGCUGCUCCUGCAGGGCAGGGGGAGGAGCCCAGACAGGGUCCGCCAGACUCCUGGAGCUAAAGAGGCCAGAGUCUGGAGAGGCAAAGGGCAGCCAGAAUUUGCUGGUAGACUCAGAGGAGGAACCUAGCAGAGGAGGAGCUCCAAACCCACACAGGGCUUCAGUCGAGCUUUAGGCAGAUUCACCAUCUGCGCUGGGUACAGAGUGAAACCCCGCAAGGCUGGGCAAGAACAUCCUUCAGAAAAAGAGCCAUUCCUGCAGAGACGUAAUCGCAUACUUCCCAGAGCUCACAUAAGACUAGAAAUCUUUGUAAGAAGAGUCUUUCCAGUCAGAGGAGAGAAAUCUCACUGGAUGCCCAGAAAAUUUGGUAGAGAACCCAGAAGUGGCCCUACAUCAGCCCUUAAUGAAAACCUCUCUAGGAAGUCCCACUGUGGCUCAGUGGGUUAUGAACCCGACUAGGAUCCAUGAGGAUGCGGAAUUGAUCCCUGGCCUCCCUCAGUAGUUAAGGAUCCAGUGUUGCUAUGGCUGUGGUGGAGGUCGGAGCUACGCCUCUGAUUCAACUCCUAGCCUGGGAACCUCCAUAUGCCAUGGGUACAGCCCUAAAAAGACCAAAAAAAAAAAAAAAA
rnacentral:lncRNA from 1 species